rnacentral:rRNA from 1 species
GAUGAACGCUGGCGGCGUGCCUAAUACAUGCAAGUCGAGCGAACAGACGAGGAGCUUGCUCCUCUGACGUUAGCGGCGGACGGGUGAGUAACACGUGGAUAACCUACCUAUAAGACUGGGAUAACUUCGGGAAACCGGAGCUAAUACCGGAUAAUAUAUUGAACCGCAUGGUUCAAUAGUGAAAGACGGUUUUGCUGUCACUUAUAGAUGGAUUCGCGCCGCAUUAGCUAGUUGGUAAGGUAACGGCUUUCCAAGGCAACGAUGCGUAGCCGACCUGAGAGGGUGAUCGGCCACACUGGAACUGAGACACGGUCCAGACUCCUACGGGAGGCAGCAGUAGGGAAUCUUCCGCAAUGGGCGAAAGCCUGACGGAGCAACGCCGCGUGAGUGAUGAAGGUCUUCGGAUCGUAAAACUCUGUUAUUAGGGAAGAACAAAUGUGUAAGUAACUAUGCACGUCUUGACGGUACCUAAUCAGAAAGCCACGGCUAACUACGUG